rnacentral:misc_RNA from 1 species
AAAGAUAUAGCAUAUUCUUCUGAAUAUACUUUAUUAACCCAUCCGAGUACCUUACCCGUUGCUUCCGCGAGGCUGUCCUCACGGCCCUCUGAAGAUUUAUCUUUGGGGGAGUCCUUGCGGAAGGUAUACAAUAAACUCUUGCAUUACCACUGUCAUCUGUCUGAAUCUGUUUAAAACAAAUAUUA